UCUUGGAGGUUUCUUGGGAAGAGGGAGUGCGGCAAGUAGCCUAGUCUUCCUUUGGAUAAGGCGGACCACUCUUCGUGAAGUUUUGGGGCAUUGAUGGUGAGGGACGAACGCAUUUGCCCAAAGGCACAAGGGGGUGAAGUCGUGUAUCCAGAACAAGAUUGUUUGCAAAGACAAGAGGCCCAGCAAGAUUACCACAGUCUCCCUGCACUCACAAGACGGCCAUUAAACUCGCAGUCGAAAAUGCUCAUCAAGGAACCCGUCAGCACAUGAAUUUCUAUAACAUCCAGGGCCGUCCGAAGAUCAGCAGUGAAUACAUUGACAUUGAGAUUCUCUUGAGAGCAACAAAAUGUCCAAAGUCAACUGCAACAGACCAUCGGGCUGACUGUAUUUUCAUGGACAAGAGGCCAUUCAUUAACUGUAGAGUUUGCAGCAGACGGUCUGGUAAUGAUCUUACACAUCCAUCAAAUGACUGUGUACCAAACAAGAAAGUGGAUGAAG